GGGGGAAAUCACGUGGUCAGAAUUGAGAAAACAUGGCCGCCGAUGCCUCGCUUAGAUUAAAAAAUUGUGUGUUCAAACAGAGUCAGAAGCUCAGGAAAAGUACAAAACUGCUCAAAUAGGCACCAAACAGUAUUGAAAGGGCCUUCGGGGUUUGGAAGCGAACCUUUCAUGUCCUUCAUGGUGAGAUUAGAAUGAAGCCUGCCAAUGUUAGCCGCAUCAUCAUUGCCUGUGCUGUUCUUCAUAAUCUGCGGUUGAUGUGGGGGAAUCAGCAGUGGAUCCGGAGCUUUUAGAAGAGGUUGCCAAGUGAGAUAUGUUUCAGGCUGUAUCGGAUGGGAGAAGAGUUAGAGAUACCAUUGUCGCAAAUUACUUUACUUAGGAAAUUAACAGAUUAAAUAUAAAUGUUUUCAUUAUAUUUGUGCUUGUAUAUCUCGGAGUCAUACACUGAUAGUUUGGUUCCUUGUUUGUUUAUAUGGGUUUAACAGCAUUGGAACAACCAUUCAAAACAAAAUAUAUUAUUCCAAUGCCUAUAUAAUAUUUUUGAAACAAUGUUUAGGUAAUAACCUCAUUUGUACUCACUCAUCUUUGGAAUUUUUUAAAUGAGAAUAUCAGUCUGUACUGUGAUUCUUUCGUAGAACUUUUCAUGUUUGUGCCAAGCUGUUCUGUUUGGCAUAGUACACCAUCUGCAUCUCACUCAGUGACCUGUAUAUGUUUAAAUAUUUUUGUUUUUCUUGGUUUACUCUAUUAACUACUUACACAAAUGAUAAGCAUUGUUCUGAAUGAUUUUGAUUAUUGAGAGCCAUCAGCUAUUUUAUUAUGGUUAUUGUUAAACAAUGAUCUGAUUCUAUUGGUUCAGUAUGUCCGUUUCAUUGUUAGCAAAUAAUUUCAAUUUAAAGAAUAUGACAUUGUCAUUAUAUAGUUUAAAGUUGAAUUUUUAACUUAUAUAAAUGAAACAAGGUCCAAGAUUAGUUAUAUACAUACAUAUAUACAUACUUAGUCUGAGGCUCUAUCUUGUUACUGUUGCAACUUGGGUGUUCAUCUGUAUCUGCUGAUGCACAUCUUGCCUGAUCUCUGAUGAACAUACAUUAUAGAACACAGUUAUAGAUCUAUUAUGUUAAGAUAUUAUUUGUUCCAUUGAGUCAACUUUGUUAAAGCAAGAGAUAUUUUGAAGUUUUUAUUUGUUUAUACAUGCGGUACAGUAGAGAUAUAAUCUUGGAAACUGAUUCUUACACUGUUAAAAUCGUCAAUAAUCGCAGUUUAGUCUAAACAUAAUAAAAUCUUGGGCAAAAUACCACUUUUGCCCCCCGCCAGAGGGUUGGAUAUGCACACGGAAUGAGCCCAUUGUGUUCAUUCAGUAUGUAUUCACACCUCUGGCGGGAGGCUUAAGUGUUAUAUUGCCAAAUCUUGACAAAUUAAUGAACAGUCAAACCAAUACAAUUUUCUGAUUGUUACCACAAUAACAGCUCGAUCAGAUAAUGGCUUAAGACUGUAUGACAGACUUGUUUAACAACGGUAAUUUCAAACAUAACUUUUUAACCAUUUGUUUCGUAGAUUAAAUAAUUGUACCCCACUCUUGAUUUUCCCAACGAUGGCAGCUUCCAAGUCCAUAAUAAUCCAUCUUGCUAUUUUGACAAUAAAUGUCGUGUCCAAACCAUAUUUGAUACGUAUUAAACGUUAUUCUAUGUCUGGUAUGGCUAAUUUGCAGUACUUAUUCAUAAUUUAAUAGCAUUUUUAGCAAAGUUCUACAGAAAUACUUACCUGCGGUCACGCUGGCCUAAACUUUAUAUUGCCACUGUAAUGAAGUUAUAGGAUCAAAGCUUAUUGAUGAUUGUUGUUGUAAACUAGUUACCUUGUAAAUUGAAAUGUGUCUGAGUUGGUGUCUGUAGCUAAAAGGUUUCAUGUCCGCUUCGAGGUUAUAUGUACAGUCUGUCCUCUAUCCGGCUCAUGUAAAACGAGUACUGAAAAGAGACCAAUGCAAGACUAUCAUUUCAAUAAAAAAUAUUCUUAAUAAUACUAACUUGGGACGAAAAAAAUGCUACUAAUCAUCAAA